UAACACUGCAAUGACAUCAAUAUACAUAAUCCUUUGACUAUAAUCUCUGAUUAUUUCCUUAGAAAGGAUUCCUAGAAUCACACCAAGUGUUUUAAUGCCACUGCCAGAGACAAAAAAUUGGUCCAGAGAGACCUUGUUUCCGAACCAGGAUGAUCCCCUAAAUCAUAAUCUCCGAGUGGUGAAUGUUUUCAGAUCAUCUAACAGACAGUGACUCUGUGCCAGGCCCUGUGCUGGAGGCUGGGGAA
rnacentral:lncRNA from 1 species